GUCUACGGCCAUACCACCCUGAACAUGCCCGACCUCAUCUGAUCUCACAAGCUAAGCAGGGUCGGGUCUGGUUAGUACUUGGAUGGGAGACCCCUUUGCUUGGAAGGGUGUUGGCGGCC
rfam:Erinaceus europaeus unplaced genomic scaffold scaffold00160, whole genome shotgun sequence